rnacentral:rRNA from 1 species
GAUGAACGCUGGCGGCGUGCCUAAUACAUGCAAGUAGAACGCUGAAGACUUUAGCUUGCUAAAGUUGGAAGAGUUGCGAACGGGCGAGUAACGCGUAGGUAACCUGCCUACUAGCGGGGGAUAACUAUUGGAAACGAUAGCUAAUACCGCAUAAAAGUCGGCAUUGCAUGAUGUUGACUUGAAAGGUGCAACUGCAUCACUAAGAGAUGGACCUGCGUUGUAUUAGCUAGUUGGUGAGGUAACGGCUCACCAAGGCGACGAUACAUAGCCGACCUGAGAGGGUGAUCGGCCACACUGGGACUGAGACACGGCCCAGACUCCUACGGGAGGCAGCAGUAGGGAAUCUUCGGCAAUGGACGGAAGUCUGACCGAGCAACGCCGCGUGAGUGAAGAAGGUUUUCGGAUCGUAAAGCUCUGUUGUAAGAGAAGAACGAGUGUGAGAGUGGAAAGUUCACACUGUGACGGUAACUUACCAGAAAGGGAC